AGCACUAUUGAGAUAUGGCGAGUUUUUUUUUGUUUCUUGGUUUGUGAGGUCGUUCUCGUUCGAGCUCAUGGCGCUUCCUCUGCUUCGUCCUCCUCCGCUCCCCUCUUCUCCCUUCUCCAAAACUUCUCAUACCCGACUCAUCUCCUUCUCGGUCUCCUCCUCCCCUUCUUCGUCUCCUCAAAUCUCCAUUGCUAAAAUUUGGGGGAGAGGGAGCUCCACUUCCGCGGCCACUUCCUCCAGUAGCUCGACCGCUGAAGCCACUACGGUGACCGAAGUGGAUUCCGGUGAGAAUCGGAGGCGAUUGAUAGCUCAGAAUAUCCCCUGGAGCUGCACCGCGGAGGACAUUAGAGAUCUCUUCGAGAAGCACGGCGCCGUAAUCGACGUCGAGCUUUCGAUGUACAACAGCAGUAAAAACCGAGGAUUGGCAUUUGUAACAAUGGCUUCAGAGGAAGAGGCACUUGCAGCCAUUAAUAAUCUGAAUUCCUCUGAAUUAGAUGGUAGAAUUAUCAAAGUGGAGUUUGCGCGGUCUUUAAAGAAACAACCUGCUGCACCAACAGUUCCUGUACAAAAGUACAAUGUAUUUGUGGGAAAUCUGUCUUGGAGAGUGAGGUCUCGAGAUAUCCAAGAGCUCUUUAGUGCUAACAGAAACGUUUUGUCUGCUGAGGUCAUCUUUCAGAGCAAUCCGAGGAGAUCAGCAGGAUAUGGUUUUGUUUCCUUCGCCUCAAAAGAGGAAGCGGAGGCUGCAAUAGCUACUUACAAUGGGAAGAGAUUUAUGGGGAGACCAAUCCGCUUGGUACUUGGUAAAUUACAUGCUGAUGAUUCUGGAAAGGAGCCAGAUGCAGCCGAGCAACCUGAGGAGGCACCGAAUGAGCUAAGUGUUAGCUGAGUGGCAUCAAAUUAAGUAUAAUGAACACAGAUUUGUUCACCAUCUAUGAGACCUGUAGUAGAUGAAGAGUACGUAACAUCUGCCAUAGUUCCUAUACCCCAAAAUUCAAGAAAUUAGUUGCAUUACACUAGUGCAGGUAGGUUAACUUCGCGAAACACCUUGGCGGGACACUAUCCGAAGAUGCAUUAGGGGAAUAUAAUAAGCAUCAAAACCUGCAAGAUGGCCUGAUAAGUAGCAUUUGGAUCAUUCUAUUAUUUGGAAAUGCUAGUGAAGAUGCAGAGGGAAACACAAUUGUAUGAUGAUUAUUGCCCUGCAACUUAAUGAUAUAUUUGACUUUUGUAAUUGUGUUGUAUCCUGCUGAAACUGCGUAAAUCUUUUAUAAUGGUAUGGCUAGUUUCUAAAAUAUCAAGUGAAAA